rnacentral:rRNA from 1 species
CCUACGGGUGGCAGCAGUGAGGAAUAUUGGUCAAUGGACGAGAGUCUGAACCAGCCAAGCCGCGUGAAGGAUGACUGCUCUAUGGGUUGUAAACUUCUUUUAUAAAGGAAUAAAACGAGGCACGUGUGCCUUUUUGCAUGUAUUUUAUGAAUAAGGAUCGGCUAACUCCGUGCCAGCAGCCGCGGUAAUACGGAGGAUCCGAGCGUUAUCCGGAUUUAUUGGGUUUAAAGGGAGCGUAGAAGGGUGGUUAAGUCAGUUGUGAAAGUCCGAGGCUCAACCGUAGAAUUGCAAUUGAUACUGGCAGUCUUGAGUGUAGUUGAGGUAGGCGGAAUUCGUGGUGUAGCGGUGAAAUGCUUAGAGAUCACACAGAACCCCGAUUGCGAAGGCAGCUUACUAAGCUGUUACUGACAUUGAUGCUCGAAAGUGUGGGUAUCAAACAGGAUUAGAUACCCCUGUAGUC